UGCUCCUCCAACCUUUGGAACCGAUGGCAUGUAGAGAAGCUGAAUUAUGUUGCCUGGAUAUUGGUGGCUUCUCUAACAGAAAUAUAUAUAUAAAAUACUGAAGAGAACUACUGGGAUUUGUCCCACAUGAACCAUUUUGAUUCCAGCUUAGGCAGAUGUUCAAAUCAGCUGGGAACACAGGAGGCAAACAUAAGAUUCCUGGAGCUCCCUGUGGUUUUGGCUGGACUGGCAGAGUCUUCGACACAGGCAGAUUUUAUGUGAGUUUGCCCUGCUCCCUGUCUGUUCCCUGAGCCCACUCCGUACCACUGCUCAGAUCCAGGUUUUCUUCUCCGGUGACCCAGUGGAUGCUCUCUCCGCAUGGAACAAGGU